GAUGAACGCUGGCGGCGUGCCUAAUACAUGCAAGUCGAGCGAACGGACGAGAAGCUUGCUUUUCUGAUGUUAGCGGCGGACGGGUGAGUAACACGUGGAUAACCUACCUAUAAGACUGGGAUAACUUCGGGAAACCGGAGCUAAUACCGGAUAAUAUUUUGAACCGCAUGGUUCAAAAGUGAAAGACGGUCUUGCUGUCACUUCUAGAUGGAUCCGCGCUGCAUUAGCUAGUUGGUAAGGUAACGGCUUACCAAGGCAACGAUGCGUAGCCGACCUGUGAGGGUGAUCGGCCACACGGGAGCGUAGACACGGUCCAUACUCCUACGGGAGGCAGCAGUAGGGAAUCUUCCGCAGAGGGCGAAAGCCUUACGGAGCAACGCCGCGUGAGUGAUGAAGGUCUUCGGAUCGUAAAACUCUGUUAUUAGUGAAGAACAUAUGUGUAAGUAACUGUGCACAUCUUGACGGUACCUAAUCAGAAAGCCACGGCUAACUACGUG
rnacentral:rRNA from 1 species